ACGUUACCUGCAGUCGAGCGGGCGAGGUUGCUUCGGUAACUGAGCUAGCGGCGGACGGGUGAGUAAUGCUUAGGAAUCUGCCUAUUAGUGGGGGACAACAUUCCGAAAGGAAUGCUAAUACCGCAUACGCCCUACGGGGGAAAGCAGGGGAUCUUCGGACCUUGCGCUAAUAGAUGAGCCUAAGUCAGAUUAGCUAGUUGGUGGGGUAAAGGCCUACCAAGGCGACGAUCUGUAGCGGGUCUGAGAGGAUGAUCCGCCACACUGGGACUGAGACACGGCCCAGACUCCUACGGGAGGCAGCAGUGGGGAAUAUUGGACAAUGGGCGGAAGCCUGAUCCAGCCAUGCCGCGUGUGUGAAGAAGGCCUUUUGGUUGUAAAGCACUUUAAGCGAGGAGGAGGCUACUUGGAUUAAUACUCUAGGAUAGUGGACGUUACUCGCAGAAUAAGCACCGGCUAACUCUGUGCCAGCAGCCGCGGUAAUACAGAGGGUGCGAGCGUUAAUCGGAUUUACUGGGCGUAAAGCGUGCGUAGGCGGCUUCUUAAGUCGGAUGUGAAAUCCCUGAGCUUAACUUAGGAAUUGCAUUCGAUACUGGGAAGCUAGAGUAUGGGAGAGGAUGGUAGAAUUCCAGGUGUAGCGGUGAAAUGCGUAGAGAUCUGGAGGAAUACCGAUGGCGAAGGCAGCCAUCUGGCCUAAUACUGACGCUGAGGUACGAAAGCAUGGGGAGCAAACAGGAUUAGAUACCCUGGUAGUCCAUGCCGUAAACGAUGUCUACUAGCCGUUGGGGCCUUUGAGGCUUUAGUGGCGCAGCUAACGCGAUAAGUAGACCGCCUGGGGGAGUACGGUCGCAAGACUAAAACUCAAAUGAAUUGACGGGGGCCCGCACAAGCGGUG
rnacentral:rRNA from 1 species